UUUUCUGCACCCUGUAGCCUCAUGUGUUGCUUUGAACGUCCUUUCCACCCUCCAGCUGCAGUGCCAUCCCAUCCUUCUUUCUUCUUUGUCAAGAAGUAGGCACAGACCGUGGAUCUCAAACUUGCAGGCAUCCCAGCCAUUGAGGGAACCUGUUAAAGAAGCUGAUUACUGAGCCCACCUUACACCUACAGAAUGGGACGCUGUAGGCACCAAGCUGAGAAGUCCUGUUUGAAAUAAGCCGCAGGCUCACUUCUGUUGUGUGAGUCCUACAGCAGUGACUGACUUCUGUGUACUCUCCCUUCCUCUGGCAACUCCCUUAGGAAAUUAUUUAAGAAAUCACAUCUUUAGAUUUUCUCUUCUCAUGCGACCAUCUUCCUCCCGAUAUAAAAGAGCUUUUAACCAUCAUGUUCUCCCUCACCCAAUGAUAUGGGUAAGACAGAAGAGAAGGGACCCUUUCCCUGAGGGCCAAUCUUGCAGCAGACCUGAAUUACGAGCUUUCUUCCAGGCUGCUGCUGCUGGCGCCCUUCCAUCGUCAACUCCACAACUCCCAGGUGCGUAGGUCAGCAUUUAUCUGACUUGCAGCUGAAUGCAAUCAAAACUGGCAAACUGGUACAGACUUGUCCUGUACACAAGAUCCGGAAGCCUGAAAGCUACACUUCCAUUAUGUCUUAUCAACAACAUUCCAGUUUAAGUCCCACCACUGAGAGGCACUCAUAUGAGCUUCAAGAGAGGAUCUGUGCCCAAGGCCUCAGAUAGAGAGACCUGGAAUGAAGGACUAGUAUGGGAAUGCAAGCAUGUGAAAAGCCUGAUUCCUCUGUUGCAUCUCCCUUCAGAGGCUGCCAUGCAAGGGCUGUGGCUGUGCACUAUGCAUGGACUGUGCAUCUCAUCUGGGGUGGGGAGGGCAGCUUUGCCCCUGAGGCCUGCCAGCUAGAGCCUUUGUCAUUGCCUCUGGACAGGCCUGAAAGCUCACACAUUGGUUUUUAACCAGGAGUAAACUUCUCUGAAGGAGCAAGAUUGGCAGUUUGCUAAAAGGCAUAUAGAUGGACCAAUGUGAAUGGACAUAAACCACAAGGAUCUUUGCCCCUCCCCUAAACACUCAACAGAGUAUCCACUGCAGAGUGGCACUCAGCCAGCAGGAGGAGAAGACUUGUCCUAUGGAUGUCAGCCAGCCUCUCUCUUUGGCCACCAUUAUGCUUGGAAAAUGGGCCCAUGGAUAGAGACCGCAUUGCCUCAGUGUUUUGGCUCCCUCUUGCCAAGCCUAAUCUAGUUAUUGAUACUGGUCAUCGCCUGACCUUCCAGCAGCAGUAAUGGAUGCUGAACCCACAACAUGGAAUCAUUCCUCAGGGAGACCAUAAAGUCACCUGGUGGCAAGUUGAUAACAUUGGCCCCUUCUGCGCUGGAGGAAGCAAGGAUUUGUUCUUGUUAGGGGAGGCAACUGCUGUAGACUCUAAGCCUCCCUGCGUGUUCUUGCUGGGUAUGACAAGAAUGCAAGGCCCUCACAGCUCUUGCCAGGUCAUUUAUCAAGGUUGUGUUUGCAGUAAUCAACCUUGAGAGAUGAAGUAAUAUCUCCCUCCAAGACAAAGAGAAGGUUUGUUUAUUGCUUUCUAUAAAACAAUGGUUUCCCAAGCUGCAUAUUCCUCAGUUGUGAUACAAACUUACUACAUCUAUCUGUGCCCUCUAUCAUACCCCCAUGAGACUUGGAGACAGGGGAGCUGACAUAUAUCAUGCUGCUUGCUGUGCUGGGAGUAAAAGUCUUUGUCUCUGAUCUAAGAGUCUUAUAUCUUCUGCCAGAAUCCAUAAAAUAGUAACAGGUUAACUUAUUACCUUCAAAAGUAAGGUAAAAUCUAAUUCCAAACCUAACAGUUUUUACCAGAAUUGCGAUCAAUUCCUGAUAUACACUUGCCUCCUCCACCUGUAGUACCGCUCUAUAAGCACCAUGAACCAAGGCGUCAUAGAAUGCCUGAACUAUUGACUUGGUACCCUGUACAAAAUUGCCUUAGAUCAAGGAACCUUUUUAACAGAAACGGAGGUACCAAAAAAUGACAUGACCAGAGCAUCUGCAGUUCUUAUCACACACCCCCUUAUUCAGAGGCAUUUGGUUUAACAGAAUGAUGGUCUGUUAGGUAAGGAGCCAGAUUAGGCUCAAAACCCCAUGGUUCUGGGAUACUUGCCUCUAGAAUCUGCUAGACACAUUGGACCAUGGAUGGAUAUAGAGUACUACAUCCCCCAUAGCUUGAAUGCCUGGGACCUGAAACCCAGUUGUGCAAGUAGAAAUGGACCUUCUCCCCAUCCCUCUCAGUGUCCUGUUUAUAGAAUCUAUGCUUCCCUUCCAGCAAACUUUGGCACUGCCAGGUUAGAAGUCUCAGUUCUUUGGGGAAAAACUUCAGCCAAAGGACACAAUAAGGGUUCCAUUGAACUUGGAGCUAUAACUACUACCAAGUCGUUUGCGGUGGACCAGCAAACUUGGAAAGGAGUUAUAUUAGCAUGGAAGUAAUUCACCCUGAUUCACAUGAAGUUCUACGGUUUUUUUUUUUUUCUACACAAUGGGGCAGGAAAGAAUAUGUUUAGAAUCCAGGAGAUACACUGGGGCAUCUCUUGGGAAUUCCACGCCCAGUGAGAAUGAUAAAUGGGCAAUAACAAGUACCAGAGCCCAGUAAAAGCAAGGCAACCUAGAAGCCUGGAUACCUUAAGGAUAAGAAUUUGAGUCAACCAUCAGGCAAAUCCUCCAGGCCAGUUCAGUGAUGGCUGAGUAAAAGGGAACUCUAGAAUGGAUGGUGUAGCAGAAAGAGGAUGAAAAUCAAUUACGGUCACAGGACCAGCUACAACUUUAGGAACUGCAAUUUACUUCACUGAUCUUCUUGCUUUAGUCUUCUUAGAGAUGUGACUGGCUACACCUUGCAAUAAACUCUAUGACAUUGAACUUACACUUUUUCUCUUAAGGAAUAAGUGAGACUAUCUUGUUCUAGCAAAAACGGAAGCUUAAAAAUUAACUGGGCAUGGUGGUGCACACCCAUAGUCCUAGCUACUCAGGAAGUGAGGCGGGAGGAUGGCUUGAGCUCAGGAGUUUGAGGCUGCAGUGAACCAUGAUCACACCAUUGCACUCCAGCCAGGGCAACCGAAUGAAACCCUGUCUCUAAGAAAAUAAAAAAUAAAAAUAAAAUUUUUUAAAGGCAGCUCCAUAUUUUCAUUGUGGUGCUAGAAACACUAGAGAGUGCAACUGAAUCUGAGUGGCGCAAGGGGCGGGCUGCAUCAAAUACUCCUUAGGCGCCACAUCAGAUCAUUUUGGCCUCACCCCUCUGAGGUCUUUGGCUUUUUCCACUUACUCUGAAGAACUUCUUGCAGCCACACCCAAUAGCACCUGUCUCAUGCCAGUGCCACAUACUUUUUG
rnacentral:lncRNA from 10 species